rnacentral:lncRNA from 1 species
CAUUGUAUCAAGCUGGUGUUCUAAAGUUGUAUGGUAAUUCUGGGCUAAAAAAAAAAAGCAUGUUAAAGAUUUAUUUAUAUCAUUUGUGUUCUACAACUUGACUUGUUAUCAACAGUUCCAUGUUACUUUCUACUCUGAGAUACAAUUUAUAUAUUUUUAAGUUAAUGAGAGCCUAAUCUGUGUGAAGGUUUUAUUGUAAAACACCAAAGUACUUUGCUACUUUUCUACAAAAGGUUAAAAGCUUUCAGCCUUUAAUUCAUGUUUUAGGUAUGAUAUUAUGUUGUGUUAGCUAAUGUUCAUGUAAACAUGAACAACAAUUUAUGUAAACUUUGUAAAAUGAUCAGCUUCAGAACUAUAGUACUUGAGAUUUAUAAAGAGCCCUGCCUUACUUGAGAUAAGGCUCUGUCCCAUUUCACUACAUGUGAAAGUGGCUAUGAAAGAAGUAAGCCAGAUUUCAGUACAGUUAAAGUUGUGUCCAAAAGUAGGUUUUGCCAAGAUUACUAGGAUCUCAAAUAGGGAAUUAUGAUGUAUAACCCUGCCAGAAUUCAAGGUAGCUAUUAUGUAAGCUAAAUAUGUUUUUACCCUAGUU